AUGGGCCUACGGGAGGCAGCAGUAGGGAAUUUUCGUCAAUGGGCGCAAGCCUGAACGAGCGAUGCCGCGUGAGUGAAGAAGGCCUUCGGGUCGUAAAGCUCUGUUGCGGGGGAAAAAAGGCAGCAUCAGGAAAUGGGUGCUGACUGAUGGUGCCCCGCCAGAAAGUCACGGCUAACUACGUGCCAGCAGCCGCGGUAAUACGUAGGUGGCGAGCGUUAUCCGGAAUGGUUGGGCGUAAAGGGUGCGCAGGCGGUCCUGCAAGUCUGGAGGGAAAGG
rnacentral:rRNA from 1 species